rnacentral:rRNA from 1 species
AACGAACGCUGGCGGCAGGCUUAACACAUGCAAGUCGAACGCACCUUUCGGGGUGAGUGGCAGACGGGUGAGUAACGCGUGGGAAUCUACCCUUCUCUACGGGAUAGCUCCGGGAAACUGGAAUUAAUACCGUAUACGUCCUGAGGGAGAAAGAUUUAUCGGGGAAGGAUGAGCCCGCGUUGGAUUAGCUAGUUGGUGGGGUAAAGGCCUACCAAGGCGACGAUCCAUAGCUGGUCUAAGAGGAUGAUCAGCCACAUUGGGACUGAGACACGGCCCAAACUCCUACGGGAGGCAGCAGUGGGGAAUAUUGGACAAUGGGCGCAAGCCUGAUCCAGCCAUGCCGCGUGAGUGAUGAAGGCCCUAGGGUUGUAAAGCUCUUUCAGUGGGGACGAUAAUGACGGUACCCACAGAAGAAGCCCCGGCUAACUUCGUA